rnacentral:rRNA from 1 species
UACGGAGGGUGCGAGCGUUAAUCGGAAUACUGGCGUAAGCGUACGCAAGCGGUUUGUUAAGCGAGAUGUGAAAGCCCCGGGCUCAACCUGGGAACUGCAUUUCGAACUGGCAAACUAGAGUGUGAUAGAGGGUGGUAGAAUUUCAGGUGUAGCGGUGAAAUGCGUAGAGAUCUGAAGGAAUACCGAUGGCGAAGGCAGCC